rnacentral:misc_RNA from 1 species
UUAACUAUUAUAUAGUACUCAGACAUUACUAAAAACAGAGUUUGUUUCCUCUGGCAGGCACGCACAUGCCGAAGCCCGUGGUGUUUCCACGGCCUGCCAAAGCAACGAAGGUAUAAUAUUCAAGGGUGGGAGAUCUACCCGUAAGGGCAUGAACUCUGUAAUGAUCCUUCCGCAGGUUCACCUACGGAAA